CUCUUUUACUUCCGGCCGUCGAUAUGGGACCGAAAGCCGAGACUAAAGCAGCUAAGCCAAAGGCUGCGGCUGCUAAGCCUGCUGCCAAGAAACAGACCCAAGCACGUUUGGUCAAGAAAACCAUUGGUGGAGACAAAAAUGGUGGACACAGGCUUGUCAGAAAAACACGAAUGUCCCGUUAUUACCCUACAGAAGACAAGCCAAGAAAAGAGUUGUCUUCCUGAAACAAUUGGAUUCUGGAUUACUGUUGGUUACAGGUCCAUUCCAUCUUAAUGGUUGCCCUCUGAGAAGAAUCAACCAAAUUUACACUAUUGCCACUAAAACAAAGCUGGACAUCAGUGGUGUUAAAUUGCCCGAACGCCUGAAUGACAAAUAUUUCAACCGUAAACAGCUGAAGAAGCCCCGACACACAGAAGGAGAAAUCUUUGACACCAAAAAGGAGGUGUACACUGUCAGUGAUGAAAGGAAAGAAGACCAAGUGGCUGUUGAUAAACAAAUUCUGGAUGUGAUCCGCAAGAAUAAAGAGAAAAAGUUGUUGUUUGGUUACCUGGGCUCCAUGUUUUCUCUUGGAAGCCGCCAGUACCCACACAAAAUGGUCUUCUAAUUAAAUAAAUAAUAACUGACAG
rnacentral:misc_RNA from 1 species